rnacentral:rRNA from 1 species
CGUUCCCGGGCCUUGUACACACCGCCCGUCACGCCAUGGAAGUUGGUUUUACCUGAAGCCGGUUGGCUAACCGCAAGGAGGCCGCCGACCGACGGUAAGGUCAAUGACUGGGGCG